rnacentral:rRNA from 1 species
AAUCAACGCUGGCGGCGUGCCUCAGACAUGCAAGUCGAACGCGAAAGUCCCCUUCGGGGGACAAGUAGAGUGGCGCACGGGUGAGUAACACGUAGGUAAUCUACCUUCGGAUGGGGAAUAACAACCGGAAACGGUUGCUAAUACCGCAUAAUGCAGCGGCACCUAAUGGUGACAGUUGUUAAAGCGGGGGAUCGUAAGACCUCGCGUCUGAAGAGGAGCCUGCGGCGGAUUAGCAGUUGGUAAGGUAAUGGCUUACCAAGGCUACGAUCCGUAACCGGCCUGAGAGGGCGGUCGGUCACACUGACACUGACAUACGGGUCAGACUCCUACGGGAGGCAGCAGUCGGGAAUUUUGGGCAAUGGGCGAAAGCCUGACCCAGCAACGCCGCGUGAAGGAUGAAAUCCCUCGGGA